AUGUCUGUGGGGUUGUUCUGGCAUAUAAGGAGCCUGGUUCAGGCAUAUCCAGCAGGUGAUUUCGGCGUGUCCGGCAUGUGGUUCUGGCGAGUCAAGAAGAUGGUUCCAGUGUGUCCCACAGGAGGUUCGGGCAUGUCCAGCACGUGGUUCAGGCUUGUCCAGAAGGUGGUCCCGGCGUGUCUGGCAUGUGGUUCUAGUGUAUCUGAGAGGUGGUUCCGGAGCAUCCGUCAAGUGGUUCAGGUGUAUCUGGCAGGUGGUUCAGUCUUGUCUGGCAGGUGGUUCCAGCAUGUCCAGCCAGUGGUACCAUUGUGUCAUUCAUGUGGUUCUAGAGUGUCAGGCAGGGAGUUCCUGUGUGUCUGGCAUGAGUUUCUGGUAUGUCUGGAAAGUGGUCCGACAUGUCUGUGGCUACAGCAUGUCUGGGACCUGAUUCCAUCAUGUCCGGUUGUUGGUUUCAGCAUGUCCGGGUGGUGGUUCCGGCAUGUCUGGCAGUUGGUUCUUGCAUGUUGGGCGGGUGAUUCCGGCGUGUACAGCAGUUGGCUACGGUGUGUCCGCGACCUGAUUCUGUUGUGUCUGGUUUGUGGUUUAGGCAUGUCCAGGUUGGGGUUCCGGCACAUCCAGCAGGUUGUUCCGGCCUGUCAGGAAGUUGGUUCUGGCGUAUCUGGGACCUGGUUCCGGCAUAUCUGGCAGGUGAUUUCGGUGUCUCCAGGAGGUUUUUCUGGCAUGUCAGGCAGGUGGUUAUGGCUUGUCCAGCAGGUGAUUCUGGUGUGUCUGGAACCUGGUUCUGCCGUAUCCAACAGGUGGUUCUGGCAUGUUCAACAGGUGGCUCAGCUGUGUUUGGCAGGUGGAUCAGUGUUGUCCAGCAGGUGGAUCAGUCAUGUCCGCUGGUUGGUUGCAGCAUGUCCGGGGGUGGUUCCAGUGUGUCCAGAAGGUGGUUCCAUCGUGUCCAGGAGGUUGUUCCAUCGUAUCCAGCGUGUGAUGCCUGCAGUUACUGCAUGUGGUUCCAGCAUAUCUGCCAUGUGGUUCCGGUGUGUCCGGCAGGUGGUUCCAGUGUGUCCAUCACCUGAUUCAGGCUUGUCCGACAUGUGA
rnacentral:lncRNA from 1 species